rnacentral:piRNA from 1 species
CAAAUUCUGUUCCUUUGACCCAUACA